AUAGAAAUUAUGGAAGUCGAUGAAAGAGAGCUUGGUAAGGAUACGGCUGGACAUGCAACUGACGAACUUUCGUGCAAAAUCGUUUCUGGUGUCAGUGAAUCUGAAAGUUGGGAGGAAACCGAUGAAAAAGAUGAGAGCGAAGAGAUUGUGAGAGUUAAUGCAGUAAGUAAGACGAGUAAGGCUGCCUCUAUUUCAAACACCAGCCGUCUUAGCUAUCAAAGCUCGCU